UGAUGAAACACCAAACUUGGUGAUUUGUACCGUGGACUCAGGUGUUUCGUCAGAUUUACGAAGCCUUUAUCCUGUACUACGCUAAACGGCUGGUCCUCCAGUGCCACGAACUCCAUUAUUUUCCUAGUGGUGGCUUUGGACUUUUCAGUGCUGAUGUCGAACAUAGGAGCCACGGCGGAGGGUUGUUGUGGUCGCUGCGACUCUGCUGCAUCCCUCCUCUUAGCGGCAGUGUAUUCCUUAUAUUUGCUAAACAAGCCUGGGUGCUUCUUUUCCAAGUGGCGUAUUAAGUUUGUUGUUCCAAAUGUCUUAGGCGUUGAUCCUCCAUGGCUGACUUUUGACUUGCAAGCAUUACAAACAGCGUGUUUUGGGUCGCUCUGGCACACAGUGUCAAAUCACUGACAUGUUUUCCUCCUGAGUCUUGCUAAUUUUUAGCAGUUUUGCUCUGAGCUGAUACGCACCGCGCAUGCGGGUCAGUUUGCUCGGGGAAAACCGGCAAAUUACGACAGUGACCGGCCGGUCACCGGUUGGGGCCGGUUGGAUAUAAAACCGGCUUUUUAAAUCGGCGGCCAAUUGAUCGGUGCAUCUCUAGUUUUAAUAUUUAUGCAUUAUUCCAUCCUUCAAACAAAAUCCCACCUCUAGUACUGCAACUACUGCUAAUGUCAAUUAAACUAGUACUUUCCCCUCUGCUUCAACUGCUAUUGCUCCCAUUUCUACUUUCUCUACUGCUGCUAUUGCUACUAUUUCUACUCUCUCUACUACUUUGACUUAUACUUAUUUUAUUCUCAAACUAUUUUUACUGCUUACAUGACUACUAAUAUCACUACUUGAUUACUUAUCAUACUACUUCUAGUACUACAACUUAUUCUACUUCUCACCUUCCUGCCUUUUAAGGCAAUUUCUGUGGUGUGGCUGGUUCGUUGUGAGGACCCGGAAGCAGACACUGAGACUGAGAUCAACUUAAAGUGAAUUUUAAUAUCCAACAAAAGGUUGUAAAUGUAAACGAGGAUGUCCGGUAGGCUGGUUGGCUGGCUGUCGUGUGGUCUGGAGCCACUGCAGGAAAAACCAUAGGAGACGGGAGUUAUUGAACAUGAAAAGAAUCACGAGGAGCAAAGUUCUGAUACUGAUACAAAGAGGUAGGCCAGGAGACGCAUCUGUACCUCUAGGAAGGGUAGACAAUACUCAGGCCCUGAGGCUGAGGGCUGCAGGCUUCUUAAAGUGCCUUGAUUGGAGAUGUGGAGCAGGUGUGUAGUCUCACUCAGCCUCAGCGACCGGGGGAGGGGCGGAAGCUCUGGAAGAGAGUGAAGCCAGACCAGGCAAACAAGGAAACACAGGAAGUCCAGCCAAAAUAAAACAAGAGAAGGAGGCGUCUCACCACAAUUUCCUUCUUCAUUCAAACUUUCUAGCCUCUUUGAGCAUGAAUAAAAUUUCCUUUUAUAUAGCAUAUUCAUACUAUUUGUCCUUCAACCAAUUAAACAAUUAUCCAACUUAUAUUUCUUUUUCACCCCUUCAACAGCUUUAACAUUUAUACCUUUCUCCAUGUUUUAUUAGCAGUUUAGCAUAGCUUUUUCAGCACUCAGCAUUUCCAGGCAUUUUCUGCAAGGAAGUGCAAUUUUUUUAGUUUAUUUUGAAUUUAUUAAAAAAAAAUACUAAUACUAAUAAUAAAAAAAUAUAUAUUAUUAUUAUUAUUAUCAUUAUGUGCCUGCCAAGUCGAGCAAGGCAUGCACAUAUUGUUAUCAUCCGGGCAGGCUCAGUAACGGCCCUAAAAUGCAGAGCAACACAACCCCUGUGAAGCAUCCAGGCAUGGCAUAGAUCAAAACGUGCGUCUCCAUCGUGGGACAGUGGGUAUUAUUUUUCUCUAGCAUUACGGUUUCCACAGGGACGCUAGGCACCAAAAAGUGGCAAAAAUUCCCCCAUGUAAGCAGAUGGGAGAGGGCGAGAAAAAUAUAGAUUUUUCGCAUGAAUUUGACGCCUCAUCCUGACGCCAUACUUUGAUGUAGAAGCGUGAUUAAAACAACAAAACACUGACACUGGACCUGUGAUUUCAAAAGUGUAGACGGCUUGUCAAUAUCUGGUACAGUUUGGCCACAGUAACUGUUCAAGUGAGGGGUGCAAACGAGGAUUUUCUGUUUUUUAGAGUAAACAUUUUAGAGUGAAGAGAAGUGACCGUGUAAUCCCAAUUUUUAAUUUCUAAAUCACUGUUACGGCCACAAUUUUCACUCAACACACACAAAUUAUACAUCAAAACGUAGGAAAUCUACCAGCUAGACAGAAAAUGUGGACCUUGAAGCCAUGAGACGCUCACUUUUCAAGCUACAGGGUUUUGUUCAGGAGGAGGUACCUGUUUCACCUCCAUCCACUGCCAUUCAAAAAGAACACAAAUGCUCCACAUCUGACUGUUGCUCAUUUUUUCCAAACAACUCACACUCCCAUCUAAACCGUAAAGCAUACUUGUCCUUCUGAUAUGUCAUAGCUGUAUUCAAGCAGUCACUCACAGUCCAGAGUUUUUUCCAAUACAACAAGUAGUUUGUCAGCAACAAGCCUUUUGUGGGCACUAGUGAGAUAUUAAGAUUCCUAUUCAAAGUGAAUGGAGCUGCUGAAAACAUAGGGUGGUCUCAAUAUUUGGAGCUUGAUUGUGAUGUCAUACUUUGAGGUAGAAAUGUGAUUUGAACUCUGACGUUUGGAUGAGACCCGAACCC
rnacentral:lncRNA from 1 species